rnacentral:rRNA from 1 species
UACGAAGGGGGCUAGCGUUGUUCGGAUUUACUGGGCGUAAAGCGCACGUAGGCGGCCUAUUAAGUCAGGGGUGAAAUCCCGGGGCUCAACCCCGGAACUGCCUUUGAUACUGGUAGUCUUGAGUUCGAGAGAGGUGAGUGGAAUUCCGAGUGUAGAGGUGAAAUUCGUAGAUAUUCGGAGGAACACCAGUGGCGAAGGCGGCUCACUGGCUCGAUACUGACGCUGAGGUGCGAAAGCGUGGGGAGCAAACAGG